UAGCUAGUUGGUGAGGUAACGGCCCACCAAGGCGACGAUCGGUAGCCGGACUGAGAGGUUGAACGGCCACAUUGGGACUGAGACACGGCCCAGACUCCUACGGGAGGCAGCAGUGGGGAAUAUUGCACAAUGGGGGAAACCCUGAUGCAGCGACGCCGCGUGGAGGAAGAAGGUCUUCGGAUUGUAAACUCCUGUUGUUGAGGAAGAUAAUGACGGUACUCAACAAGGAAGUGACGGCUAACUACGUGCCAGCAGCCGCGGUAAAACGUAGGUCACAAGCGUUGUCCGGAAUUACUGGGUGUAAAGGGAGCGCAGGCGGGCGAUCAAGUUGGAAGUGAAAUCCAUGGGCUCAACCCAUGAACUGCUUUCAAAACUGGUCGUCUUGAGUAGUGCAGAGGUAGGCGGAAUUCCCGGUGUAGCGGUGGAAUGCGUAGAUAUCGGGAGGAACACCAGUGGCGAAGGCGGCCUACUGGGCACCAACUGACGCUGAGGCUCGAAAGUGUGGGUAGCAAACAGGAUUAGAUACCCUGGUAGUCCACACCGUAAACGAUGAUUACUAGGUGUUGGGAGAUUGACCCUCUCAGUGCCGCAGUUAACACAAUAAGUAAUCCACCUGGGGAGUACGACCGCAAGGUUGAAACUCAAAGGAAUUGACGGGGGCCCGCACAAGCAGUGGAGUAUGUGGUUUAAUUCGACGCAACGCGAAGAACCUUACCAAGUCUUGACAUCCCUUGACGAUGCUGGAAACAGUAUUUCUCUUCGGAGCAAGGAGACAGGUGGUGCAUGGUUGUCGUCAGCUCGUGUCGUGAGAUGUUGGGUUAAGUCCCGCAACGAGCGCAACCCUUAUGGUCAGUUACUACGCAAGAGGACUCUGGCCAGACUGCCGUUGACAAAACGGAGGAAGGUGGGGAUGACGUCAAAUCAUCAUGCCCUUUAUGACUUGGGCUACACACGUACUACAAUGGCGUUAAACAAAGAGAAGCAAGACCGCGAGGCGGAGCAAAACUCAGAAACAACGUCCCAGUUCGGACUGCAGGCUGCAACUCGCCUGCACGAAGUCGGAAUUGCUAGUAAUCGUGGAUCAGCAUGCCACGGUGAAUGCGUUCCCGGGCCUUGUACACACCGCCCGUCACACCAUGAGAGCCGGGGGGACCCGAAGUCGGUAGUCUAACCGCAAGGAGGACGCCGCCGAAGGUAAAACUGGUGAUUGGGGUGAAGUCGUAACAAGGUAG
rnacentral:rRNA from 1 species